UCCUCCUCCCUCUUCCCCAUUCCAGUCUGGGGGCAGCCCCUGCACCAUCACGGAGGCAGCUCAGGCUAGCAGAGCAGAGGCAGCAGGGCUUCAGCACCUAGUACUUGGUGCUGUGUAGUCUUUUCCGGCCUGCUCAGCAUCUCUGUGCUCACAGCAGCCCAAGGGAGAACAGUGGUACUGCUAUGGUGCCGGAGGCCACAGUGCACAUCACGACCCGGAGCGUGGAGUGUUACCUGCUGUUGCAGCUUGCGGAGCGGGACUCGGAGCUCUGGGACCUGGAGGUGCAGCGCGGGCGGCGGUGGCGCUGAGACUUUCGGGGCCGGCUUCGGGAUCUUCAGGGGUUGAAGAGUGGUGACAGGUGCAAGCAGCUCUGAACUGCUUCUCUUCAGGCUCUCCUGCCUUCCAAGUCCAUGGAAGUCUUUGCAAGGGCAGUGACGAUGAUGCCACUGUCUCCAGGUGACUAGCUUCCACACUUUGCGUUUGAUCUUCUCUUUGGAGGCCUCUUGGCAGGAGAUAAAAUGCUAGAUAGAAAAACACAAGCUGUACUAUUUGCAGGGUCUAAAGUAGCCAGGUGUCAGUUCCCUGGCCCCAUCCAGCAUGGUCCUGGUAGGAGUGACGGGGCUGAUGAUUCAACAGCCAGUGAAGCAGGCAGACUGGCAGAGGCAGGAGUCACCACGCGGGCCGGGCCAGGACUCCCAUGUGCCAUACAGAAGCUGAGAGCUGGCUCGGCAUACAUGUGUCCUCAGCCAACUGCCCAAGGUAAGUGACACCUGAGGCUUCAAGGGCCCUGCCUGCAGGAGACAAGCUGGCUGUGUGAAUGAUGGGCCCAUGCCCGUGGCCAGCUGGCACGCUCACUGUGUCCAAGGGCAUGGCAACUCCGCAGUGCCAAUUGAUGGCUGCCUGCAGGAAAACCAGGCCCAUGAAGACGAGAAACUGG